CACCUGACACCAAUCUUCUAGCACGCGAUCAAGUGGGACCACCUGGGUCAGCUCCCAGGGAAGGUAUAAAAACAUGGCAGGGAGGACCUUUGCGGUUGCUGCCCCUCUUGUUCCUGCUGUGGUCUGUGCUGCUGCCUGGGGCAUAGCUUUUCUACCUCCAAAGUGCCCUUUUUCUCCUUGGGUACUUCUGUGCUUCUUGCCCUUUUCUUAUUUCUACCCCCCAAAAAAUGUACUCUUACCUUUACCAAUUAUCCUAUGAAUUCAUUGAGCAGGCUGAUGGGAACCUGCAAAAUGCUGCUGGUGGCUACUCAGCCCCGUAGCCCUCCUGGCUGUGUGGGAUUUCAGACUCAAAGACACAAGCAGAUGAGAAAGCACCAAGGCAGGGUGGAGUGGCGGGGGGGGGGGAGACAAGAUAGGGUGGAGGACAGUGACCUCAAGCUGUGCUCAAUAAGGGGCUGAAGGAAUAGCUGGGCAAAGGCCCUGAGGCGGCUCUGCAGCUCUGACUCUGCAGGGAGAGGGGCAGCAGAAGGGUGGCUGGGAGAGGGAGGUGGGCAGGGAGAUGUGGAUCUGGCUCUGUCCUCCCCCUUGACUCUUCCCUCUCCCCAAGUGCAGUCCUUGAGGCUUAAUUCAGGGCAAUUUGAUAGUGAAUCAGCGUUGGCUGCUAAGGUCGAGAGCCAUUAAUAUGGACAUGGGCUUCUGGGAGCUAUCAGGCAACAGGAGGGAGGGAUGGGCCAGGGACAGCAACACAAACGUGUCCAUGAGGCCAGGGAGCCAUAAAUCUGUCCCAGACCAGAGGGAAGCAGCACAGCUGGCCGGGAGACUGGGCUCUGGUCGGGACCAGAUGGCAAAGAGCCAGAGGGGCCUGAGGCUAGGGCAUUGGCUACUCAGAGAAGCCUUCCAGCCAAGCUAUCUGAAGAAGAUGCCAAAUGGUUUGGGCAAUAAGCAGUUCCUGCUGGACCCGAUUUUCUCUCUUCUAGGAUCUUUAAGGAAAAUUAGCACCAAUGUUCAGCAAUGUCCUGAAACAACCCUUCUAUGA
rnacentral:lncRNA from 1 species